UGAUUUCUUUUAAAAUACAAAGCAACAUUUAAAACAAUUAUUUCAGGGUGAACUGUGCUGAAAGGCCUAUUUGUGAUGAUAACUAUAAACAUUGCCAAUGCCAGGGUGCUCCUAUAGUUGAUCCUGAGCAUAAAUGUCCCCCUGGAGCUGGUGCUAAGGUUCUAGGCGACCCUUUCAACUGCAAUAUUUCUCUUGUCUGUAUUGAUGGGACACUAUCAACAAUUGUCAACUGUGAAAAGGAGAAACCCUAUUACGACGAGAAACGUUUUGGUUGCUCUUCUGAUCCUGCUGUUUGCGAACUUAGGCAAAAU